GGCCCCCAACUGCCGCCCGCCCGCCGGCAGGGAGCGGCUCCCAUCGCCGCCCAGGCGUUAGCGAAAAUCGCGCGCACAGAGAGGAGCUUUCUCCUCUGCUAAAAAUAGGCUAUAAAGGAGUCGGCCUCAUGAUGGCUCCUUGAUUCAAUUUGCUGCAAAUUCUUUCCUGAAAGCCUUCCCCGCCUCACAUCCACACGCACAAAAAGGGGGGUGUCGAGGCACGAAGGGCGCGAGGGGGAGCAGGCCGAGGUGCACAUUUUCGGGAGACAACAACAACAUAAUUAGGGUGAAUGCUUUGAAAAGUGGCCAAAAGCAAAGAGAAGACAAGAGUCCCUCAAGGUUGAGGAAGAUGGUGGUCUUUGGCUUCUCUCCAAGUAGUGGCACACUUGCUCAGCCCCUGUGAGAGAAGGAGAGGAGUCACUUUGUGGUGUGCCUAGAGAGGCUGGAUAUUACACUCUGGAGCUCUCAGCCCUGGCAAAGACGCCUGUGCCGAGCUUGGCAGGAGUCAGCAGAGCUGCCUGACCUUAAGUGAUCCAAAGAGCUUGGAUGCUGAGCACAUGCAUGGUGAUUAGUAUGAACUGAAAACAAGCGGACUCCAUCUAAGUGACAUGCUCUGGAGAGAAAAAGUAAAGGCAGAGAUGUCCCAAUUCGCUCAGUUUCCAUUAACUUUAAGCAGAAGUUUUGCCUGUGGAAAGAAGAUAUUCUGAUGGCACAGAGACUGAGGAGAUUAAAUGGCUUUCACAUCACCGUGCAAGAUGUCACUCAAUGAAUAUCUUGAUAACCUGAUUUCCAGAGCCACAUGAGCUGUAUGCUUCACUCUGUGCAGUGAGCGAGUUGGACUAAUGAUGGAUAAAAUCCGAGAGACUGUACUUGGAACAUUACUCUCCUACAUAACAGCUGAAGAUAUGCUUGGAGAAAUGCACCAAUUGAGUUCAACUGGUUCAGGAACUUCCAC
rnacentral:lncRNA from 1 species